UACGUAGGGGGCAAGCGUUGUCCGGAUUUAUUGGGCGUAAAGAGCGUGUAGGCGGCCUGAAAGGUCAGCUGUGAAAACUCGAGGCUCAACCUCGAGACGUCGGUUGAAACCAUCUGGCUAGAGUCCGGAAGAGGAGUGUGGAAUUCCCGGUGUAGCGGUGAAAUGCGCAGAUAUCAGGAGGAACACCAGCGGCGAAGGCGGUGCUCUGGGCCGGAACUGACACUGAGGUGCGAAAGCGUGGGUAGCAAACAGG
rnacentral:rRNA from 1 species